UACCCUGAACGGUGGAUCACUCGGGCCUCGUA
rnacentral:rRNA from 1 species